GGCUGGUACAAAGGGAGUGAGUUUUCUCAACUGCUUGUUCACAGUCAGUUAUAGAUUGAACUGCUGGUCUGUGUUUUCCCCUCUUCUCACUACUGCACUUGACUACAGAU
ensembl:misc_RNA Gm54376 predicted gene, 24372